rnacentral:rRNA from 1 species
GAUGAACGCUAGCUACAGGCUUAACACAUGCAAGUCGAGGGGCAGCAUGAAGUCAGCUUGCUAAUUUGAUGGCGACCGGCGCACGGGUGAGUAACACGUAUGCAACCUGCCUGUAAGCGGGGGAUAACCCGGAGAAAUCCGGACUAAUACCGCAUAGUAUCACAAUUUCGCAUGUUAUUGUGAUUAAAGAUUAAUUGCUUACAGAUGGUCUCGCGUCUGAUUAGCUAGAUGGCGGGGUAACGGCCCACCAUGGCGACGAUCAGUAGCCGGUCUGAGAGGAUGAACGGCCACAUUGGGACUGAGAUACGGCCCAGACUCCUACGGGAGGCAGCAGUGGGGAAUAUUGGGCAAUGGGGGAAACCCUGACCCAGCAACGCCGCGUGAAGGAAGAAGGCUUUCGGGUUGUAAACUUCUUUUACCAGGGACGAAGGACGUGACGGUACCUGGAGAAAAAGCAACGGCUAACUACGUG